UACCAGAAAGGGACGGGUAAAUACGUGCCCAGCAACCGCGGUAAAUCGGAUGUCUCGAGCCGUUUAUCCGGAUUUUAUUGGGCUAAAGCGAACGGCAGACGGUUUAUUUAAUCUGAUAUGAAAGCCCGUCGCUCAACUCCGGGAUGGCAUUGGAAACUGGUAACUUGAGUGCCGUUGAGGUAAGUGGAACUCCAUGUGUAGCGGUGGAAUGCGUAGAUAUAUGGAAGAACCCAGUGGCGGAGACGGCUUUUUGGGCUGUAACUGACGUUGAGGCUCGAAAGUGUGGGUAGCAAACAAGAUUAGAUACCCCGGUAGUCCACACCGUAAACGAUGGACACUAGGAGUUAGGAGGUUUUCGCCUCUUAAUGCUGAAGCUAACGCAUUAAGUGUUCCCCCUGGGGAGUACGACCCCAAGGUUGAAACUCAAAGGAAUUGACGGGGGCCCGCCCAAACGGUGGAGCAUGUGGGUUAAUUUGAAGCAACGCGAAGAACCUUUCCCGGUUUUGACAUCCUUUGAAGCUUUUAGAGAUAGAAGUGUUCUCUUCGGAGACAAAGUGACAGGUGGUGCAUGGUUGUCGUCAGCUCGUGUCGUGAGAUGUUGGGUUAAGUCCCGCAACGAGCGCAACCCUUAUUGUUAGUUGCCAGCAUUCAGAUGGGCACUCUAGCGAGACUGCCGGUGACAAACCGGAGGAAGGCGGGGACGACGUCAGAUCAUCAUGCCCCUUAUGACCUGGGCUACACACGUGCUACAAUGGCGUAUACAACGAGUUGCCAACCCGCGAGGGUGAGCUAAUCUCUUAAAGUACGUCUCAGUUCGGAUUGUAGUCUGCAACUCGCCUACAUGAAGUCGGAAUCGCUAGUAAUCGCGGAUCAGCACGCCGCGGUGAAUACGUUCCCGGGUCUUGUACACACCGCCCGUCACACCAUGGGAGUUUGUAACGCCCAAAGCCGGUGGCGGUAACCUUUUAGGAAGGCAGCCGUCCUAAGGCAUGAACAAAUU
rnacentral:rRNA from 1 species